CCUACGGGGGGCAGCAGUGAGGAAUAUUGGUCAAUGGACGAGAGUCUGAACCAGCCAAGUAGCGUGAAGGAUGACUGCCCUAUGGGUUGUAAACUUCUUUUAUAUGGGAAUAAAAUGUUCCAUGUGUGGGAUUUUGUAUGUACCAUAUGAAUAAGGAUCGGCUAACUCCGUGCCAGCAGCCGCGGUAAUACGGAGGAUCCGAGCGUUAUCCGGAUUUAUUGGGUUUAAAGGGAGCGUAGGUGGAUUGUUAAGUCAGUUGUGAAAGUUUGCGGCUCAACCGUAAAAUUGCAGUUGAAACUGGCAGUCUUGAGUACAGUAGAGGUAGGCGGAAUGCGUGGUGUAGCGGUGAAAUGCUUAGAUAUCACGAAGAACUCCGAUUGCGAAGGCAGUUCACUGGACUGCAACUGACACUGAGGCUCGAAAGUGUGGGUAUCAAACAGGAUUAGAUACCCGAGUAGUC
rnacentral:rRNA from 1 species